GGAAAGAUGAAAAGAACUUUGAAAAGAGAGUUAAACAGUAUGUGAAAUUGUUAAAAGGGAACCGUUUGGAGCCAGACUGGCUUGUCUGUAAUCAAUCUAGGCUUCGGCCUGGAUGCACUUGCAGGCUAUGCCUGCCAACGACAAUUUGACUUGAGGGAAAAAACUAAGGGAAAUGUGGCCCACUUGUGGGUGUUAUAGUCCCUUAGAAAAUACCUUGGGUUGGAUUGAGGAACGCAGCGAAUGCUUUUUGGCGAGUUUUCCAGGAAGGUUUUCUGAGGUACUACGGUAUCAAGGUUGAUCUUUUUGGUUAUACUUCUAUUCGCUUAGGUUGUUGGCUUAAUGACUCUAAAUGACCCGUCUUGAAACACGGACCA
rnacentral:rRNA from 1 species